rnacentral:rRNA from 1 species
GGUUAAGCGACUAAGCGUACACGGUGGAUGCCCUGGCAGUCAGAGGCGAUGAAGGACGUGCUAAUCUGCGAUAAGCGCCGGUAAGGUGAUAUGAACCGUUAUAACCGGCGAUUUCCGAAUGGGGAAACCCAGUGUGACUCGUCACACUAUCAUUAACUGAAUCCAUAGGUUAAUGAGGCGAACCGGGGGAACUGAAACAUCUAAGUACCCCGAGGAAAAGAAAUCAACCGAGAUUCCCCCAGUAGCGGCGAGCGAACGGGGAGGAGCCCAGAGCCUGAAUCAGCAUGUGUGUUAGUGGAAGCGUCUGGAAAGGCGCGCGAUACAGGGUGACAGCCCCGUACACAAAAGCGCAUGUGCUGUGAGCUCGAUGAGUAGGGCGGGACACGUGGUAUCCUGUCUGAAUAUGGGGGGACCAUCCUCCAAGGCUAAAUACUCCUGACUGACCGAUAGUGAACCAGUACCGUGAGGGAAAGGCGAAAAGAACCCCGGCGAGGGGAGUGAAAAAGAACCUGAAACCGUGUACGUACAAGCAGUGGGAGCACAGGUUUACCUG